rnacentral:rRNA from 1 species
AUUGAACGCUGGCGGCAGGCCUAACACAUGCAAGUCGAACGGUAACAGGAAGAAGCUUGCUUCUUUGCUGACGAGUGGCGGACGGGUGAGUAAUGUCUGGGAAACUGCCUGAUGGAGGGGGAUAACUACUGGAAACGUUAGCUAAUACCGCAUAACGUCGCAAGCCCAAAGAGGGGGACCUUCGGGCCUCUUGCCAUCGGUUGUGCCCAGAUGGGAUUAGCUAGUAGGUGGGGUAACGGCUCACCUAGGCGACGAUCCCUAGCUGGUCUGAGAGGAUGACCAGCCACACUGGAACUGAGACACGGUCCAGACUCCUACGGGAGGCAGCAGUGGGGAAUAUUGCACAAUGGGCGCAAGCCUGAUGCAGCCAUGCCGCGUGUAUGAAGAAGGCCUUCGGGUUGUAAAGUACUUUCAGCGGGGAGGAAGGGAGUAAAGUUAAUACCUUUGCUCAUUGACGUUACCCGCAGAAGAAGCACCGGCUAACUCCGUG